rnacentral:lncRNA from 1 species
CUGUAAUAUUUGAUCAAUUUGAUGCAUUCUUGCUACAGUAAAUAAAAGUAUUACAAAAAAAAACUUUCUGACGCCAACAUUUUGAACAGUAGUUUAAUAGGUAAGCAGCUACUACAUAACAUUAAAACUGACAAAAAGAUUUGUAAUUGAAAUUUAAUGUUUUGACUGUUCUCUUAAUCUGAGUGUAGUUGAGCCAAACGUGGGUACUUUUUUUUUUUCACACUUCCACACCAUCGCUCGUAACCUUGCCUCUGAUUCACUGAAUGGAGCCGAUGACCCCUCCAUUUCUUUGGUGAAGCUCUCCUACGGUUGUGAGGGGACGUUUAUGAAGGUUUGCGCUGAAAGUAGAGACUCUACUAGCGCACGCCCGAUGUUCUGCGUUCCCCUCACCGUGCCCCUCGGAGAUGCACCACCUACAGAUGCUGGUGUGGGAUCUACGGCAACAACAGUGGCCAUAUAAUUAUGAUUGCAUCCCAUCUCUUGUGCGAUAACCAUUUGGUUCAGUAAAGAAAUACAUCGCGGAGCAAAGAGGACACUGACAACACGACGACAGACAAGAAGGUUACUUUUGGAAUAAAACGAAGUCUUUACAUUUUUUUUUUUUUUUUUAGAAAUUCAAACAAUAAAUACCAUUUUGUUGCUUUUUAAUGUGUCGUGACAGAUUGCUGUAGCGCCUCAGUUCAAGCGGCACGUGAGCCGAUCAUCUCUUCUUCUUUACUAGUU